rfam:Lucilia cuprina strain LS Scaffold198, whole genome shotgun sequence.
CCUUCGAUAGCUCAGUUGGUAGAGCGGUGGACUGUAGAGUUAUCAUCAAAUCUUAAGUAGAAAUCCAUAGGUCGCUGGUUCAAAUCCGGCUCGAAGGA